UUCUAGAGUCGUUACAAUAAAAAUCUACUUUGGAAAUGGGUCGGGCUUCGACAGUCCGACUCGGAAGUUAUCGGGUCUCAAAUCCAUGCGUGGGUUCAGAUGAGAACCCGUUAAGCAGCUUGGCUGCACAAAGUUCGUCAAAUUCUGUCUCAUCGAACCCAAGAACUCGUCGACGAUCAAAGGAAGAUUCUGUGAAGUAGCUAGCCUAGAUUACUAACUUGAGGAAGACGAAGACCCCAACUCCCCCAUCAAGCCCAUAACUUAUAUCAAAGCUUCAGUUUUUUUAGAAGAUUUGGUUCUUGGAUUUGACGGCAGUAGGCAGGGGCAGUUCACUGAUAACUCUUUCUUACUCCGCUUCAUCCUGCCCCCAGGUUGCUCUUUUCUUUCUAUCUGACAGUCUAUAGUAAGCGCCUCCCA
rnacentral:lncRNA from 1 species